rnacentral:tRNA from 3 species
UGUGACAGAAUAGUGUGAUAAAUUUAAGAUUUAUUUAUAAAGUUUAUCUUUCCUUAGAA